UACGGAGGGAGCUAGCGUUGUUCGGAAUUACUGGGCGUAAAGCGCACGUAGGCGGUUAUUCAAGUCAGAGGUGAAAGCCCGGGGCUCAACCCCGGAACUGCCUUUGAAACUAGAUGACUAGAAUCUUGGAGAGGUCAGUGGAAUUCCGAGUGUAGAGGUGAAAUUCGUAGAUAUUCGGAAGAACACCAGUGGCGAAGGCGACUGACUGGACAAGUAUUGACGCUGAGGUGCGAAAGCGUGGGGAGCAAAACAGG
rnacentral:rRNA from 1 species